rnacentral:lncRNA from 10 species
CUGGCUGCUUUGUUUUCCUAAGUGAGCCUGGGCAAUGGCGGGGGCCCCUCCCGCAGCCUUGCUGCUGCCUUGCAGUUUCAUCUCAGACUGCUGUGCUAGCAAUCAGUGAGACUCCAUGGGCAUAGGACCCUCUGAGACAGGUGCGGGAUAUAAUCUCCUGGUGCGCCGUUUUUUAAGCCCGUCGGAAAAGCGCAAUAUUCAGGCACUACAGUUAAUUUCAAUCAUUGGCAGUAAACAACUUCACCGUGACGACUAUUAGGCAACAAUCAUUUUAAGAAAGCUUCCCAGGUGACAGAGCCUGUGGUGCCAGAAACUCAUUGAAAAAACUAAAGCCACAAAUACAAAGAAAGUGCAACUGAGCCCUAUGGAUUAAUGAGAUACAAAAAUGCAAUUCAGAAGAACAAAACUUCACAGUUUGUUUUAUUAUGUGUGAGUCUAUUAACUAUGUCAUUAAAUUUGAAAGCAAG